UGGGGUAUAUUGCACAAUGGGGGAAACCCUGAUGCAGCGACGCCGCGUGAGCGAUGAAGGCUUUCGAGUCGUAAAGCUCUGUCCUAUGGGAAGAUAAUGACGGUACCAUAGAAGAAAGCCCCGGCUAAUUACGUGCCAGCAGCCGCGGUAAUACGUAAGGGGCGAGCGUUGUCCGGAAUUAUUGGGCGUAAAGAGUGCGUAGGCGGCAAAUUAAGUCAGAUGUGAAAACUAAGGGCUCAACCCAUAGAUUGCAUCUGAAACUGAUAUGCUUGAGUCAAGGAGAGGAAAGUGGAAUUCCUAGUGUAGCGGUGGAAUGCGUAGAUAUUAGGAGGAAUACCGGUGGCGAAGGCGACUUUCUGGACUUGAACUGACGCUGAGGCACGAAAGCGUGGGGAGCAAACAGG
rnacentral:rRNA from 1 species